GCGAAAUAGCUCAGUUGGGAGAGCGUUAGACUAUAGACCGAAAGCAGGUCCUUGGUUCGAUUCCCGGAUUCAGCA
rnacentral:tRNA from 1 species